ensembl:lncRNA
AAGUAUUUGAUCCCCUGCUGAUUUUGUACGUUUGCCCACUGACAAAGAAAUGGUCAGUCUAUAAUUUUAAUGGUAGGUUUAUUUGAACAGUGAGAGACAGAAUAACAACAAGAAAAUCCAGAAAAACGCAUGUCAAAAAUGUUAUUAUUGAUCAUUACUUUGUCAGUGGGCAAACGUACAAAUCAACAGGGGAUCAAAUACUUUUUUCCGUCACUGUAAGGAUAGAGAUUGACCCAUAGGGCUUGAGAGUCUGCAUGGAGCAGAUGUGGAUCUCCACCAUGUGACCCAGUUGGGCAGUUCAAGUGCACUGUCCCAGAUCUCCAUGCAACAUUGAAGAAGCGUGUUAACUACACAACCCCACACUUGCCCUGUGCCUUCAACAUUUCUGGCUGAAUCUCAUCCACCCUUAAAGCCUUGCCACUAUAAAAUUUUCUAAACACCAUAGUAACCUUAACCACAAAGAUGGACUCCAAAACCAGAUAUUUCUGGUAUGAAGGGAUGUCUAGUCUACUGGGUUCCUCCAAGUGCAAUCAGUAUAUCAUGGGUUCAAGCCCCAGUACCGCCAAGCUGCCACUGUUGUGUCCUUGAGCAAGGCCCUUAGCUCUCCCUGCUCCAGGGGUGCCAUAUUAUGGCUGACCCUGCACUCUGACCCCAACUUCCUAACAAGCUGUGAUAUGUGAAGAAAAGAAUUUCACUGUGCUGUGAUGUAUAUAUGAUCAUUCUUCAAUAUCCCCAGUAGAUGUCAAUGCUCCUCUUGUUGAGCAGAGCUUGUGAAUGGUCUCAUCUCCCUCUCCCGAGAUUCCAAAUGGUUUGCCAGAACAUGUUAUUUACCUUCAUUAUAGCCACACCUUGCAGUGGUUUGUCACAUUUGAAAGGAAAUGCUAAGAAAUUCAAAAUGCUGACACAAAGAACAAUUACACAGAGGGAUAUUAAGUUGUUGUUUUUUCGUCAGCUCGGAAUGCUGAGUGACCUUGUCCUCAAGCAGUGACUUGAAAUGUUCAUGUAAAGUAACUGUAAUAACAUUUCAAAAAUUCUGCCAGUGUAAAUACAAACCAGGGUGUGCAGACUGCACAUUCUGUUUUUUCUUAGCUGGUUUUCUGCAUGAAACCAGCUUCCUUUUUUUUUUUUUUUAAACAAAAAUUGGUAUUCUGUUCACUAAGUCCCUUUAGAGAGACAUUUGCUGAAGUGGCAGAAUAGUUGAAGGGCUUCAGGUGAGUUGUGCAUCAAUAGACUGACCUCUCUCUCUCUCUCUCUCUCUCUCUCUCUCUCUCUCUCUCUUUCUCUCCCUCUGUGUAUCACUCUUUAUAUAUCUCUUUCACAGUACAGAUGGGCUCAUUACUGGAAAGACAUUUGCAUUCCUUGUCCUUGCAUUAAUGGAUGGAAUUUCACAAUAUUAGCUUGUUGUCUACAGUAUGUAUGCCAGUCAAUGCAUUGCAAUAAACCCUACAUUGAUUAAAUGAAGCAUAAACUGUAUAGGAAUAUGGAUGCCAAAGCCAGCAAGCCUGAAGGUGAAUGGGGGAAAAAGUUUUGCUUUAAGUUUAUUAGCCUUGGGCUCUUAUCUGACCUGAAUAUUGAUUACGAUAGAGGACAGCUAUGUUGAGGAAAAAAAGCAUACACAACAUACUCUUUUGUGUGAAAAAUAAAAUGUAUAGAAAUUAGAUGUUUCCCAAUUCUAGUAAUUAAUUUAUCUUCAGUAACCAUGUUAUCCUAGUCAGGGUUAAAGAGAAGCAGAUUUGGAUUCUAUCCUGAGAACACUGGAUGCAAGGCUGGGAUACACCCCCAGGUGAAACACCACUCCAUCGCAGGGCACCACACAUAAACUCACACUUAUAGGUAGCUUAAAGAAGCCUAUACACCUACAAACCUGUUUCCAGGAGGUGGGAGGAAGUCUAUGUGGAUACAGAGAGAACACACACAAUAACUGGACCUUGGAGCUCUCAGGCACCAGCACUACCUGUUGUCUCACUGUGCCACCCCUCCUUCUAUGUAAUUGCUUACACUACACAGUGUAGACAGUGGUUCAGUGGAUAGUUGGGCCUUUAUCAAUAUGUUGCCACAAUGUUAGAAGAACGCAGUUGUCUAGAAUGCCUUUUGAUGAUGUAGCACUAAGAUUUCCUUUAAUUGGAACUAAAGGGUCCUAGACUAAAUAUUGUCCAGCAUGACAAUGCCCCUGUGCACUAAGCACAAUCUAUAAAGAUGUGGUUUUCAAAGGUUUGUGUGGAAGAAAACAAAUGGCCCACUCAGUAAAUAAUAAAUGGUAAAUGACCUUUUAACAUUAGCUGUUCUACAAAGCACUUUAUACUGUUUCUCCUUCCACAAAGUUGGAAACACACACACCAAUGCCAUGCAAGGUGCUAGCCUGCUAUCAUGUGCAACCCAGGGACACUUCAGCAUGUGGAGUCAUGUGGGCCAGGGAUUGAACCUCCAACCCUGCGAUUAGUGGACAACCCGAUCACAGUACCGUGACCUAAACCCCACUGAACACCUGUGGGAUGAAUUGGAAUGCCAACUGAUGCUUUGCCUACACCUAAAUCUAACCAUAACCUUAUCUUCUGUAACUAUAAGGAAAUUUUUAUCUCUUUUAGUUUUUGUAAAAAAGCAGUCCUCACAAGGUCAAAACUGUCAGAUAUUCCCAUCCCUGUGAUUCCUGUCCCCACCAAGAUUUUAAAAUAUGCUAAACAUGUUAUGAUUUAUUUCAUGUGCUUUAAUUGUAUUUCUUGGCCUUAUGUGAAAAUCUCCUGCAUAAAGAGGAGUAAUUAACAUCUAUUGAUUAGAGGACCCCAUGCAUAGAGUGACGAAGAGCAGAACUGACAGCUGCAAUUCUGUGCCUGUUGCAUAAUGAUUGUGGCAAUUGACAAACCUAAACCGAACUUCCUGUGAUUUUAAAUUGAUGGGGAAAUAUGCUGUGGGGUUGGGUAGACUUCAUGAUUUGAUUUUUGGAGAGCAGAACACAAGAUGUACAGGAAAGGAUAAGUCUGAUAUUAUUUAAAAAAUUCCUAAGUAUUUCAGUUGUCACUAUUUUUAUUGAGUUUUUACUAUACCUGUUAGGCAAUGGACCAGCAGCUAUCUGUACUGCACUAUGGGCAAUUAAAAUUUUAAUUUUAACAUCGCCGUGACUAAAAUACUUGCUUAUAUUCGCAACAUUACUCAGAUGUUAUGAUGUCAAUUAAUAUUAUGUGUGAUGUGCAGUUCUAUUGUUACCUUGCCUGACAUUCAAGGUUGUUAGAGUGCUAAUCAAUAUUUGGGCAUUCUGCUACAAUUGCUAACACUCGAGGGCUUGAAAGGGCAUGAAAACUGGGACAACCUGAACAUUUACAGUUGUGGUCGGAAGUUUAUGUACACUCAUCAUGAACAUGAAUGUCAUGGCAAUAAUGGGCUUUCAAUCAUUUCUUUGAACUAUUCUUUUUCUGGGGCAUAAUGAUUGUACAAUAUACAUCUUUAAUUAAAAACAAAAAAAACAAGAAUUUGGCUCACAAGUUUUAAAUUAUUUGGGGUUUUCUGUAGUCAACACAAGGUCAACGUUAUACAUACAGGGUCAAGAAUAUACAUACGGCACA